UACGUAGGGUGCGAGCGUUAAUCGGAAUUACUGGGCGUAAAGCGUGCGCAGGCGGUUUUGCAAGACAGAUGUGAAAUCCCCGGGCUUAACCUGGGAACUGCGCUUGUGACUGCAAGACUCGAGUGCGGCAGAGGGGGGUGGAAUUCCACGUGUAGCAGUGAAAUGCGUAGAGAUGUGGAGGAACACCGAUGGCGAAGGCAGCCCCCUGGGUCGACACUGACGCUCAUGCACGGAAGCGUGGGUAGCAAACAGG
rnacentral:rRNA from 1 species